UACGUAGGUGGCAAGCGUUGUCCGGAAUUAUUGGGCGUAAAGCGCGUGUAGGCGGGAGGCCAAGUCUGCUGUGAAAUCGCCCGGCUCAACUGGGCGGGGUCGGUGGAAACUGGUCACCUGGAGGACGGUAGAGGCGAGUGGAAUUCCCGGUGUAGUGGUGAAAUGCGUAGAGAUCGGGAGGAACACCAGUGGCGAAGGCGGCUUACUGGACACAUAUUGACGCUGAGGUGCGAAAGCGUGGGGAGCAAACAGG
rnacentral:rRNA from 1 species